CCUACGGGGGGCUGCAGUGGGGAAUAUUGGACAAUGGGGGGAACCCUGAUCCAGCCAUGCCGCGUGUGUGAAGAAGGCCCUCGGGUUGUAAAGCACUUUCAGUGAGGAAGAACGCCUGGUGGUUAAUACCCAUCAGGAAAGACAUCACUCACAGAAGAAGCACCGGGUAACUCCGUGCCAGCAGCCGCGGUAAUACGGAGGGUGCGAGCGUUAAUCGGAAUUACUGGGCGUAAAGCGCGCGUAGGUGGCUUGAUAAGCCGGUUGUGAAAGCCCCGGGCUCAUCCUGGGAACGGCAUCCGGAACUGUCAAGCUAGAGUGCAGGAGAGGAAGGUAGAAUUCCCGGUUUAGCGGUGAAAUGCGAAGAGAUAGGGAGGAAUACCAGUGGCGAAGGCGGCCUUCUGGACUGACACUGACACUGAGGUGCGAAAGCGUGGGUAGCAAACAGGAUUAGAUACCCCAGUAGUC
rnacentral:rRNA from 1 species